rnacentral:rRNA from 1 species
GAUGAACGCUGGCGGCGUGCCUAAUACAUGCAAGUCGAGCGAACAGACGAGGAGCUUGCUCCUCUGACGUUAGCGGCGGACGGGUGAGUAACACGUGGAUAACCUACCUAUAAGACUGGGAUAACUUCGGGAAACCGGAGCUAAUACCGGAUAAUAUAUUGAACCGCAUGGUUCAAUAGUGAAAGACGGUUUUGCUGUCACUUAUAGAUGGAUCCGCGCCGCAUUAGCUAGUUGGUAAGGUAACGGCUUACCAAGGCAACGAUGCGUAGCCGACCUGAGAGGGUGAUCGGCCACACUGGAACUGAGACACGGUCCAGACUCCUACGGGAGGCAGCAGUAGGGAAUCUUCCGCAAUGGGCGAAAGCCUGACGGAGCAACGCCGCGUGAGUGAUGAAGGUCUUCGGAUCGUAAAGCUCUGUUAUUAGGGAAGAACAAAUGUGUAAGUAACUAUGCACGUCUUGACGGUACCGAAUCAGAAAGCCACGGCUAACUACGU